CUAGAUAAGCCCAGUGCCUGAGCCGGUCCGGAAGCCCAGUCCCCAGAGCUGGAGGAACGGAGUUCUCUGCAGAAGGACUUCUGAAGGACCUAAGAAGAGUCCACAGAUGCCUAUUGUGUUAAACAGCAGAGCAGGACACCUCUUCUCAUAGUUCCUGAUGACAUUCAAAUCACAUUAUACUGCUGAAGUAGGUCCGAAAUGGUGAUAUUAGGUCAGAAACGGUCAGAAGGAAAUGUAGAAACAAGAACAGC